AUUUGUUAUGGUGGUUAUUAAUUUGUAGCUUGAUGAUUGGGUGCUUUGUCGAAUUUACAAGAAGAACAACACGCAUAGGCCGAUGGAUCUGGAGGACUCCAUGGACGGCACGAUGGGAUCGUCGUUUCCCCUGUCGAAGCUGCACCACCUUCCCCCGAAAUCGACGACAUCAACCUACGGCCAAUUCAUGGACAACGACCAUAAUUUCUACGACGGGAUGGUAAGCAGCGAAGGGAUCAAUACUAGUGCUUCUUUUCUUCCAAACUCGGCUUUGGCCAACAGCUCUCUCCCUCUAAAACGGGAACUCCCGAAUCUGUACUGGAAUCAUGAUCCGGAGGACGAAGCAGGGCCUUCAAGGAGACUACACAUGGACAGCAGUGAUCAGAGCACUGGAAAUGGUUCUAUUGCCAUUCUGCUUUCUCAGCUCCCUCAGACACCUCCUCCAUUGCACCAGCAGCCAAUGCUGGGGACGUCACAGCUCGGUGGCGACGCUCUGUUUCGUAGUACACAGUAUCAACUUCCGGGGAAUUGGUAUUCUUAGUCCAAUUUCGUAUUAGCGGCUUGGCACAUAUAUUCCAUAUGAUGAUGUUAAUUGUAAGCACACUCUUGUUGCUCAACAUAUAGUUGUAUAGAUUGGGAGUAGUAUUGGGGAUUUGAGAUUUUGAUUGCUGCAGUUGAGUUUUGGGCUCAUCAAAUUCAAUCGAGGUGUUAAAAUUUCAGGAGAGGCCAUAGCAAUAUAUUUGUAUACAUAAUUUUGCAGUUUUUUUUUAAUAUUCAAUCAUGUAGAAAUCAUGAGAAAAAAAAAAAGAUUGUAGAGAAAAUAAAACAUAUUUAUAUUAUAUUUGCUGUAUAUUUGUAGCGCUAGCUCUACUCUCUUUGUAUAUUGCAGUUAUAUAUUCAAAUCAUCAUAGAAAAAUUACUUAUUGUGCUGGGUUUUCCAUUUUCUAUUGCAAGCUUGAAACCCUUGAAAUGUAUAUUGCUGACUGCUCCAUGGUUUUACGUUAUGUUCAUCAGAUAAUAUGAAUUGUGAUAGUUGUAAACGGGAAGGCAAUAUGAUCUAUAUUGGAAUUAUUCCUUUCAUCAGCAUUCCCAGUUCAAAUGGUUUCAACGGGGUCGGACUUAUUUUCUUAUGCUAUCUCUCUAGAACAGAGAUAAGAAAAGAAAAUAGCUCCCCAAGUACCCAGUACAUGAUUAGACAUCUUAAACUAACUGGACGAGUGUAACAUUAAUAAAAGGUGCAUUUAUUUGAAGUCGCAUAUAUAUACUGGGAUCCCAUCGCCUUUUUAUCCCAAUCAUAUAGCUAUAGAUUUACCUCCAAGAAAAGAAUGUUACUAUUAAGAUUAUUGUUAUAUCAUAUACUGUUAGUUCAUUAAUCUGAUCUUAAAGUUGCCACAGUUGAUUAACGUACUCUAUCUUCAGUGUAAUUGGUAUCCGAAAGUGAUAUGUAUAUUUUCAGCCGUGAUUAGACAAUGCGGGAUGUCAUUCCGCUAUUGGAUUUCGAAGGAAAUGAAGCUAGAAACUCCCUGAUAGUUUUCUCCCUAGUCUAAAUCUUAUUGUUGACCCAUUUCUCUCAUCCUAGGUUCCAAAAGAUGCUACAUUUUCAAUCAAUUCGACUUAUAAUUUGCUUCUACUCCAUCCCUUUAAUAAGAAAUUAACUUAAUAACAUGAUCUCACUCGUUUGAAUAUUAAAAAUAGAAACCAAGUGAAAAGUAAGAUAAUAUAAAAUUAAAAUAAUAAUAAUUGUCAUGUAGGAAUGUUAAGUUUUCAGGUAACACAUAAGUUUCAUAUUAAAGGUUUACAUGAAUCUAACAUUUUCACAUCUUUACUGUUCAGUGUCUAGAACAUAGUGUGUAGAUUAUUCUUGCAAAGUUUCAUCCAAUUUGGAGAUCAUUUGAGCUCCCGUAAUUGUGAUUUACACGAACGGUUCCGUUUGGACAGAUUUUGUUUAGUUGAUUCAUUUAAUCUAAUUCGGUACUCAAAUAAUUUUCAAAUUGGAUGAAACUUUGCAUGAAUGAUCUACACAUUAUGUUCUAGACACUGAACGGUGGAGAUGUGAAAAUGUGACAUAAAAGUGAGCGAAAUAAGGAGCACCACACUUUAAUUUCAUAACGGUGUCUCACUCUGGAAUAGAACUCUUUGUGUGUGUGUGUGUGUAUAUAUAUAUAUUGCAAAUGUGAUAAAUGGUAGUUCAAAUACAUCAUAUGUACGAUGCAAUGCUUAAAUCAACACAGCAAUGCUUAAAACAAUGUGUUGAUGAUGUGUGAUCAACGUUCAUAUUUUCGGAUGAAUUAUGAAGUAUAUUAAGAAUAAUAAUGGUAAGUGAACCACAUUUUAGGAAACCAUGUACAUUCAUCUAGAAGAACGACUAUAUUUUCGGAUCAAUUAUGAAGUAUAUUAAGAAGAAUAAUGGUAAGUGAACCACAUUUUAGGAAACCAUGUACAUUCAUCUAGAUGAAUAACGACUGACAAAACUAGAAAUUAGUUUUCAUAUGCGAAUUAACGAUUGAAAUUAUUGAUAUAUACACCACCGGAGAUAUAAUAUCACCGCAUGCAUAAAGUAUCAGAUAUGUAUAAGAAUUAUUACUUUUCAGAUGAUCAUCACUAAGUUCACACUUUGUUGAUGAUAUAUACGGGUCACUAAUUUAUACCUUGAUCAUAUAUGAAUCUGUUGUGAUAGGUAGGCAAUAUUGUCAACAAGAGGCGAAUCCUGAAAAGCCAGAGAUGGGCUUUGAACAACGUACAGCAGAAAGAUGAGCUUGCUUUUACCUCAAUAUAUCGAUCUCAGCUUACUGCAUAAACACCCACCUUGAUUUAAUCCACAAAAAAUUAUUGCUCUUGCUUUUAUCUCCAGGAAAGAUUUUUUUGCAAGAUAUUUGAUAUCGAGCAGUGCGAGUGUCAUUAUCUUUGAUAUGGGAAUGGGAGUGAUUAGACAUAGUUAAGUAUAUUCUAUCGACUCGUUGAGGUCACUAAAAAUUGACAACAAGAUCGAGAGGCCUAUCUUUCCUCUUUCUCUGCUGACUCCACUAUGGGACCGUUGUUGCAAUCGUCGAAAGGGAAUCAUUAUCUUAAAACCACACAAAUUAAAUACCCCUUUAAUCACCUUCCUAACCCAGGAAAGAGUACAAACCAACUUUAUUAAAUUUCGCAUCAUUGCUGCUUAAUUUUGGUAAUGCUAUUGUGAUAUCUCAUGAAAAUGCGCUGUUAUCUUCUUUCUGAAAGAUGCUUUCUCAAAGCCUAGCUCUAUGAGUAAAAUCCCACCACAAAAUCUUAGCCGCCUCCGAUUCAUUAUCAUCAAAUUGUUCCAAACUGAAAGAAAAAUUUAUUAUUAUUGGACUUCCCUGACUUGCUUUCUCAG
rnacentral:lncRNA from 1 species